ensembl:lncRNA
CAAUAACAGGCUCUCAUUUUUGAGGAAGUAUCAAACAAAUUAAAAGGGGUGGACAUAGUCAAGAUGGCGACUUAGAAGUGGCAAAAGUCAAUUCCUCUGUGAAAACUCUUCUACACCAAUCAAAAACAAAGCACUUCCAGGGGGACAGAAAACCAAAUCCAACAAGAAGACAGAACUGAGGGAUCUUACUCCUCAAUUCAACUUAAAAGGCUUCUCAGGAGUCUUAUGGUUGAAUGACAAAUUUUCUAUUCUGCUCUGGUCUUUUCAUCAAGAAUGUUUGAAAAUACUCCAUUUUAUUAAAUGUCUAUUUUCCCCCUUGAAAGAUCUACUCAGUUUUUCUAGGAACUGUUCUUGAAUAUCUGCUGAAGGGAAAGGAAGAUGACCACAUGGAAGCUAUGUUAAAAGUCAAAAUGGAGAAACAUACCCAACUCCACAGAGAUGGGAUGCUUAUACGAGAUGAAGACAGAUGCCCAAGGAAUGAAGUGAGUUUUGAGUUUGCUUGUUAUAGGAUACCUGGAGCUGAAAAAGAGACAUCAGGACUGCUUUCAAAUGUACAAGUUGUGGAAUUUUCCACGAAUGCAGGUGGAACUCCAUUUCCUUACCUAUAUGAUAGGUGGUUGCAUUGCAUCAGACUUCUACACCUUUCUGCUUCAAAGAUCACUUUGCCAUUAUAAAGAAACUUA